rnacentral:rRNA from 1 species
UACGUAGGUGGCAAGCGUUGUCCGGAUUUACUGGGUGUAAAGGGCGUGUAGGCGGAAUAUCAAGUCAGAUGUGAAAGGCGGGGGCUUAACCCCCGGACUGCAUUUGAAACUGAUGUUCUUGAGUGAUGGAGAGGUAAGUGGAAUUCCCGGUGUAGCGGUAAAAUGCGUAGAUAUCGGGAGGAACACCAGUGGCGAAGGCGACUUACUGGACAUUAACUGACGCUGAGGCGCGAAAGUGUGGGGAGCAAAC